GUUGGUUUAAGUCCCGCAACGAGCGCAACCCCUGUUCUUAGUUGCCCUUCGGGGAUCUCUAAAGAAGACUGCCGGCGACAAGCCGGAGGAAGGUGGGGAUGACGUCAAGUCCUCAUGGCCCUUACGUCCAGGGCUACACACGUACUACAAUGGAUGCUACAAUGGGUUGCGAAACCGUAAGGUGGAGCCAAUCCCUGAAAAGUAUCCUCAGUNGUUGGAGUCUGCAACUCGACUUCAUGAAGUUGGAAUUGUCUAGU
rnacentral:rRNA from 1 species